AUGCUCACAUCUGCAGUACAUACACUAACAUUGGAAUGGUACAGAGAAGAUAAGCAUGGUCCCUCUGCAAGGAUGACUCACACACAAGAAAUAUAGGGAGGUGUUUU